GCCUUCUGUGCUCGCCUGGGCAGCACGUGAAACAGGACGGCACAGAGCAGAUGAGCGUGGCCCCUGCACAAGAUGACAGGCAAAGUCAUGAAGCAUUCCAUGUUUUG